GCUCGUUUUCCUCCGUCCUUGUAGUUAGAAGUUCAGGACGAGGAUUAACUUUUUUCUAACAUCCAGGUUCCUGUGUAGGCCAUUGAUGACCACUGCAAUCAAACAGGCAAAUGGUGGCAGGAUUGAUUAGGGAACCUUUGCUUCAAAGGACUUUUAUGGAAGCUUACCUUAGUACAACAGCAAUGAUGAAGGUUAAAGAAGCUAUGGUGUUCACCAUUGAUGCAAGGAACGUUGGAGAGGUGUAUCUCAAGCUUGCGAAAUACAUGUUCAGAGUCCAACUCACCCUGUAGUCAAUCAAAGGAGAGACAAAACAUUUAGCUCCAGAAAAAGAGCUAAUGUCAACUUUGGCCGUAGUUUUCUGCAGAAGAGCAAAACAGGUAAGGUCUUACUGCUAA